rnacentral:sRNA from 1 species
GUGCCCAAUUACGGCUCAUAAGCCCACUGUUUCACAGAUAUUUACUGGAAACUAACCAUUAGUUUGUUAACAGAAAUUUGGAGUUUUUUAUCAUUAUACACAUACAUUUUGAACAUUUUAACUUUUAAGCAGAUGCAGUGCAGCAAGUCAUAUAUUAUGUUCAUAUUUUUAUCUGUUUCAGUAUAUUUUUUUACACUUAUUGACUGGUAUCCAUGGCAUUAUUUUCAUCUUAAUUAUACCCUCCUGAAAGUGUUAUUCAUUUCUGUGUUUCAUCCACCGUAGCUGGAUUACGUGGAACGUAAGUUAUGCCCAAGCUUACAAAUCUUGUGUUUUAUCAUACUGACUCAAGGUCAUUUGAUCUCAAUUUUUCGUGUAGAUGCAUUAAUAUAAUAUGACACUAUAAAUUAUUAAAGAGAAAUAUUGGGUCACUCUUCCCUAUUAAACAAAUAUAGUUGAAUUGUAAAAUAACAUGUAUUAAUGUGUUCAAUUUAUAUUUUUUGUAUCAUAAUAAUAAAAGAUAACAAAUGUU